rfam:Oryza punctata chromosome 1, whole genome shotgun sequence.
AAAGAAAGCAGUUUUACGUUUUUUUUUCUAACGUUUAACCCUUCAUCUUAUUUAAAAAAAAUAAUUGUUAUUUUUAUUGUUAUUAAAUAAUAAAACAUAAAUAGUACUUUAAACGUGAUUAUUUUUUUAUAAAAUUUUUAAAUAAAACGGAUGGUCAAACGUUGAACACGGAAACACACAUCUACACUUAAA